CAUUAAAGACUAUGUCACUGUAA
rnacentral:snRNA from 1 species